rnacentral:lncRNA from 1 species
AUUGUAAAACAAAAAAAUCUUAUCUAUUCUAUAUAGCCCUAUUCUUAACUGUGUAGCAUCCUUGUAAAUAUAAAAUUAAUAAAAUAAAUUUCUUCAAUGAAUCUUUACAAAUUUUCUACUAUUUGGGCUCAUUAGAUUGAUCAAUCUCAACAUUGUUUGUAGAUGGCUCUAUAGAUUCUAGUUCUAAUGUUAAGUCUUCAUCUUCCUCUGAUACUUCUAUUGGAUCUAUCUUCAAUUGGGCUAAUAAAUCUUCAUUAUAGGCUCCCAAUUCACGAACUUGAGCUUCCAAUUAUAGAAUCUUAACAUCAUUUGUUUCCAAUUUGUGUUGCUAUUGCCUCACCCUCUCCUCUAAUUAACCAAUUAUUGAAACUAGUGGAAUAGAUGUCUAUGAUUGACUAAUACUAGCUAAAUCAUCAUCUAAUUUUUUUUACUAAAUCUUUCAAAGUUCUAAUU